rnacentral:rRNA from 1 species
UACGAAGGGGGCUAGCGUUGCUCGGAAUCACUGGGCGUAAAGCGCACGUAGGCGGCUUGUUAAGUCAGGGGUGAAAUCCUGGAGCUCAACUCCAGAACUGCCCUUGAUACUGGCGGUCUCGAGUCCGGGAGAGGUGAGUGGAACUGCGAGUGUAGAGGUGAAAUUCGUAGAUAUUCGCAAGAACACCAGUGGCGAAGGCGGCUCACUGGCCCGAUACUGACGCUGAGGCACGAAAGCGUGGGGAGCAAACAGGG